rnacentral:miRNA from 1 species
CUAACCUUUGGUACUUGGAGA